UACGUAGGUGGCAAGCGUUGUCCGGAUUUAUUGGGCGUAAAGCGAGCGCAGGCGGUUUCUUAAGUCUGAUGUGAAAGCCCCCGGCUCAACCGGGGAGGGUCAUUGGAAACUGGGAAACUUGAGUGCAGAAGAGGAGAGUGGAAUUCCAUGUGUAGCGGUGAAAUGCGUAGAUAUAUGGAGGAACACCAGUGGCGAAGGCGGCUCUCUGGUCUGUAACUGACGCUGAGGCUCGAAAGCGUGGGGAGCAAACAGGAUUAGAUACCCUGGUAGUCCACGCCGUAAACGAUGAGUGCUAAGUGUUGGAGGGUUUCCGCCCUUCAGUGCUGCAGCUAACGCAUUAAGCACUCCGCCUGGGAAGUACGGUCGCAAGAUUAAA
rnacentral:rRNA from 1 species